UACGGGGGGGGCAAGCGUUGCUCGGAAUCACUGGGCGUAAAGCGCACGUAGGCGGAUCUUUAAGUCAGGGGUGAAAUCCUGGAGCUCAACUCCAGAACUGCCUUUGAUACUGGGGAUCUCGAGUCCGGAAGAGGUGAGUGGAACUCCGAGUGUAGAGGUGAAAAUUCGUAGAUAUUCGGAAGAACACCAGUGGCGAAGGCGGCUCACUGGUCCGGUACUGACGCUGAGGUGCGAAAAGCGUGGGGAGCAACAGGG
rnacentral:rRNA from 1 species